rnacentral:rRNA from 1 species
CGCCGCGUGAGUGAUGACGGUCUUCGGAUUGUAAAGCUCUGUCUUUAGGGACGAUAAUGACGGUACCUAAGGAGGAAGCCACGGCUAACUACGUGCCAGCAGCCGCGGUAAUACGUAGGUGGCAAGCGUUGUCCGGAUUUACUGGGCGUAAAGGGAGCGUAGGUGGAUAUUUAAGUGGGAUGUGAAAUACCCGGGCUUAACCUGGGUGCUGCAUUCCAAACUGGAUAUCUAGAGUGCAGGAGAGGAAAGGAGAAUUCCUAGUGUAGCGGUGAAAUGCGUAGAGAUUAGGAAGAAUACCAGUGGCGAAGGCGCCUUUCUGGACUGUAACUGACACUGAGGCUCGAAAGCGUGGGGAGCAAACAGGAUUAGAUACCCUGGUAGUCAAAGGA